CUGGAGGUAUCAGAAGUGCGAAUGCUGACAUAAGUAACGAUAAAGCGGGUGAAAAGCCCGCUCGCCGGAAGACCAAGGGUUCCUGUCCAACGUUAAUCGGGGCAGGGUGAGUCGACCCCUAAGGCGAGGCCGAAAGGCGUAGUCGAUGGGAAACGGGUUAAUAUUCCCGUACUUGGUGUUACUGCGAAGGGGGGACGGAGAAGGCUAUGUUGGCCGGGCGACGGUUGUCCCGGUUUAAGCGUGUAGGUGUGUGUUCCAGGUAAAUCCGGUUCACUUUAACACUGAGGCGUGAUGACGAGGCACUACGGUGCUGAAGCAACAAAUGCCCUGCUUCCAGGAAAAGCCUCUAAGCAUCAGGUAACAUCAAAUCGUACCCCAAACCGACACAGGUGGUCAGGUAGAGAAUACCAAGGCGCUUGAGAGAACUCGGGUGAAGGAACUAGGCAAAAUGGUGCCGUAACUUCGGGAGAAGGCACGCUGACACGUAGGUGAAGUGAUUUACUCAUGGAGCUGAAGUCAGUCGAAGAUACCAGCUGGCUGCAACUGUUUAUUAAAAACACAGCACUGUGCAAACACGAAAGUGGACGUAUACGGUGUGACGCCUGCCCGGUGCCGGAAGGUUAAUUGAUGGGGUCAGCGCAAGCGAAGCUCCUGAUCGAAGCCCCGGUAAACGGCGGCCGUAACUAUAACGGUCCUAAGGUAGCGAAAUUCCUUGUCGGGUAAGUUCCGACCUGCACGAAUGGCGUAAUGAUGGCCAGGCUGUCUCCACCCGAGACUCAGUGAAAUUGAACUCGCUGUGAAGAUGCAGUGUACCCGCGGCAAGACGGAAAGACCCCGUGAACCUUUACUAUAGCUUGACACUGAACAUUGAGCCUUGAUGUGUAGGAUAGGUGGGAGGCUUUGAAGUGUGGACGCCAGUCUGCAUGGAGCCGACCUUGAAAUACCACCCUUUAAUGUUUGAUGUUCUAACGUGGACCCGUUACCCGGGUUGCGGACAGUGUCUGGUGGGUAGUUUGACUGGGGCGGUCUCCUCCUAAAGAGUAACGGAGGAGCACGAAGGUUGGCUAAUCCUGGUCGGACAUCAGGAGGUUAGUGCAAUGGCAUAAGCCAGCUUGACUGCGAGCGUGACGGCGCGAGCAGGUGCGAAAGCAGGUCAUAGUGAUCCGGUGGUUCUGAAUGGAAGGGCCAUCGCUCAACGGAUAAAAGGUACUCCGGGGAUAACAGGCUGAUACCGCCCAAGAGUUCAUAUCGACGGCGGUGUUUGGCACCUCGAUGUCGGCUCAUCACAUCCUGGGGCUGAAGUAGGUCCCAAGGGUAUGGCUGUUCGCCAUUUAAAGUGGUACGCGAGCUGGGUUUAGAACGUCGUGAGACAGUUCGGUCCCUAUCUGCCGUGGGCGCUGGAGAACUGAGGGGGGCUGCUCCUAGUACGAGAGGACCGGAGUGGACGCAUCACUGGUGUUCGGGUUGUCAUGCCAAUGGCACUGCCCGGUAGCUAAAUGCGGAAGAGAUAAGUGCUGAAAGCAUCUAAGCACGAAACUUGCCCCGA
rnacentral:rRNA from 4 species